CCAAAGGCUCUUCUCAGAGCCCCCCACCCUCUCCCUGAGAGCUGUG
rfam:Xenopus tropicalis strain Nigerian scaffold_1582_contig_3, whole genome shotgun sequence.